UUGAGCACAGUAUGUCAACCGCCAUAUGAAGAAGAAGAAGAUAUUGACCACAGUAAGUUCCGUGGAGCUAGCUACACCAAAGCCAUCGAUGGGCUACACGCGUUAUGGACUCAAAACAAUGGGUUUUCCUCACUACUCAUUAAUCCAAGAACAACUCAUCGUGAUGGAGCACCUGUACUCCCUGAUACAGCAGGAUCUGAGGGGAUUCCUCAGACAGGACGCAGAUGUGGAUUGACAACAUCCUGCAGUUUGACUUUAUUAGAAUAAGUGUUGUUUUGAAUAAAGGACAAUAAAAUUGAAUUAUUUUACAUACUACUUACUGUAUGUUAACCUGACUCACCACUUGAAUUUCGUUCCACCUAGCUCCUCACAUUCAUCUGGAACUACUCCAUUGGAAAUGUAUUUCAGAAGGCAGGGCCUUGUCAAAACUCCUUUCAUAUGAUUGGAUAAACUAAUUUGACAUGCUACUACAACAGGGGUGGGCAAACUAAGGCCCAGGGGCCACAUGCGGCCCUCUGCUCUGUUUCAUGUGGCCCGCCAUGAAGUCAAACACAUAAAAUUAAAUGUGGCCUGUUGUUACAUAAACCUGAUAUACAUCCAUCACACAGCAUGGUUUCAUAACUGAUGUGCUAUGUUUGUCAAUGAAAACAAGAGAACAGGCCGCACUAUGCAUAAGCAAUCACCAUUUAUUCACACAGACGCGCUUCGGCGCUCUGCCUUCCCAGUAUGUUUGUCAAUACCAUCAUCAAGCUGUACUUUUGGGAACUCUGACUGAAUAAAUACAUUUUUUUGGAAGAUAA